UUAUGCCGCUGUGUCGGUUGCUUUCUUUUCUCCUGACGUCACGUGUGCAAGUCUGAGAGCACCUUACAUUCCUGGUGGGGAAGGGGAGCGUGGCUGGUGGCGUCCCUCUCUGACACCAUGUAAGGAAUGGAAUGCAGGGGUAGGGCCGUCGCGGUCUCAACCCGGUCACCUCCGCCAGGAAAACCGGCGGGACUAGGUUAGAACUCUGCCCCGCAGCCGGAAAGUACAGUAACGGCUGAGACAGCCACUCUCGUCCACAUAAAGGUGGGGGCUGGCCUACCUCAAGCGCCUUUCCUGGGGGAAGAGAGCGACGUUCGUCUUUCGCUGGAGCUCCGCGGGAGUUGAGGGGUGCUGGGAGGCAGCAGAGGCGCCUCAGAGGGCAGGUCCGGCUUGAAACCGCUCUGGUAGCCCAAGAUGGAUUUCGUGACAUGACCCGCGGGUAACUUUAUGAUGCCUGUAUCCCCAGUUGUCUGUUCUGUUUGUGCUGUAUAUUGAGUCCUGUGCCUUUAAGACUGGUUCUAAGAGCAAGGAGAAGCGCGGAGUUUGUUUUGAGAAAACUACCUGACUCCUCCACAUUCUUCUGUGGACAGCGUGUUCGGCGGAGGCUUGGAGAGACUGCAGGACAGAGAUCUUGUUUUGCUUUUAGUUAGUUUCAGCUAGCUAGGGCAGAGAAGUUCCCUAGACUGUUUUUUUUCCCCUUUUUCUUGGAACUGUUUAAACCUGCUCUAAACUGAAAACCCAGGGGAGCACUGGGGGCUGCACCUGCGGCCCACCGGGGCCUGGACCUCGGCAUUUUCCAGCAGCGCCAGAGAGACUGGGACUGAGGAAAAGCACUGAGAGAGAGAUCCGAGCUACACCCACGGCAAGGACUUUCUCAAUUUGCCAUCUCACUUCAGAAGGAGAAGUUUUAUUGUUUCAUAUUAUUCAUUCUUUAUACUUGUAUGCACUUCAUUUGUUUAGUAAAAUAGUUUUUUCCACUUUUCUCCAAA